AUAUUGUAUGUACGGACAGAAGGUUAGCAUUUCCCUUGACAAAGAUGGAGAAGACCCUUGGGUCUGACAACAGCAUACAGCUAAGGCACUGCAUCUACUUAGUGGAAUAUAACCAUCAUUUUUA
rnacentral:ncRNA from 1 species